rnacentral:rRNA from 1 species
AGAGUUUGAUCAUGGCUCAGAACGAACGCUGGCGGCAGGCUUAACACAUGCAAGUCGAACGCAUCCUUCGGGGUGAGUGGCAGACGGGUGAGUAACGCGUGGGAACGUGCCCUUCAGUUCGGGAUAACCCAGGGAAACUUGGGCUAAUACCGGAUACGUGCGAGAGCAGAAAGAUUUAUCGCUGAAGGAUCGGCCCGCGUCUGAUUAGCUAGUUGGUGGGGUAAUGGCCCACCAAGGCGACGAUCAGUAGCUGGUCUGAGAGGAUGAUCAGCCACAUUGGGACUGAGACACGGCCCAAACUCCUACGGGAGGCAGCAGUGGGGAAUAUUGGACAAUGGGCGCAAGCCUGAUCCAGCCAUGCCGCGUGAGUGAUGAAGGCCUUAGGGUUGUAAAGCUCUUUCGUCCGGGACGAUAAUGACGGUACCGGAAGAAGAAGCCCCGGCUAACUUCGUGCCAGCAGCCGCGGUA